UACGUAGGGUGCAAGCGUUUAAUCGGAAUUACUGGGCGUAAAGCGUGCGCAGGCGGUUGUGCAAGACAGAUGUGAAAUCCCCGGGCUCAACCUGGGAAUUGCAUUUGUGACUGCACGGCUAGAGUGUGUCAGAGGGGGGUAGAAUUCCACGUGUAGCAGUGAAAUGCGUAGAGAUGUGGAGGAAUACCGAUGGCGAAGGCAGCCCCCUGGGAUAACACUGACGCUCAUGCACGAAAGCGUGGGGGAGCAAACAGG
rnacentral:rRNA from 1 species